ACACGACUCAUUAGAUACCCGCGUAGUCCUAGCCGUAAACGAUACUCGCUAGGUGUCGGCCACGGUGCGACCGUUGUCGGUGCCGUAGGGAAGCCGUGAAGCGAGCCACCUGGGAAGUACGGCCGCAAGGCUGAAACUUAAAGGAAUUGGCGGGGGAGCACCACAACGGGUGGAGCUUGCGGUUUAAUUGGAUUCAACGCCGGAAAUCUUACCGGGACCGACAGCAACAUGAAGGCCAGGCUGAAGACUUUGCCGGAUUAGCUG
rnacentral:rRNA from 1 species